AUGAGCUCUAGCAUUCAGAAAAAUAGCUCAAUUGUGAUAUGGUUGUUCAACAGCAACAAGAAAAAUAUAAAAGAACUUGGCAAUGACUUCUCCACUACACAGAACAGGUCUGCUAAAGCCAAACGAUUGGUAGAGCAGGCCCGGUCGGUGCCGACGGGCCCGGGAAGAUGGUGCUUGGCGGUUGCCCAACCUGAUGAAUUUAUACAUUGUGAUGACCCAGUGGAUCAUGUUGGAAAUUCAACUGCAUCCCAAGAACUUGGUUACGGUUGCCUCAAGUUUGGUGGUCAGGCUUACAGUGAUGUGGAACACACUUCUGUCCAAUGUCAGGCCCUAGAUGGAAUUGAGUGUGCCAGUCCUAGGACCUUCCUACAAGAAAAUAAACCUUGUAUAAAGUAUACCGGGCACUAUUUCAUAACCACUUUACUGUACUCCUUCUUCCUGGGAUGUUUCGGAGUGGAUCGUUUCUGUCUGGGACACACUGGUACAGCAGUGGGGAAGCUGUUGACACUUGGAGGACUUGGGAUUUGGUGGUUUGUUGACCUGAUUUUGCUUAUCACUGGAGGGCUGAUGCCAAGCAAUGGCAGCAACUGGUGCAUCAUUUACUAAAAAAGAGUUGAUGGCUGCUAUACCCCAGAGAGACAAGUGAGUGUUCUAUCUUCUGAACUCAUCUCUACCAGGUCAGAAUUCUACGAUUAUCAGACGUGGACA